rnacentral:rRNA from 1 species
UACGAGGGGGGCGAGCGUUGUUCGGAAUUAUUGGGCGUAAAGGGUGCGUAGGCGGUUUGGUAAGUCUGAUGUGAAAUCUAUGGGCUCAACUCAUAGUCUGCAUCGGAAACUGCCGGGCUUGAGUGUGGGAGAGGUGAGUGGAAUUCCUGGUGUAGCGGUGAAAUGCGUAGAUAUCAGGAGGAACACCUGUGGCGAAAGCGGCUCACUGGACCAGAACUGACGCUGAUGCACGAAAGCGAGGGGAGCAAACAGG